UGCUGAUUGGCUUUAGUCCAAGUGAAAGUUGUUGAAAAUCAUGUCCUAAAAUCAAUCAUCAGUCUAUUGACAGUUGAGCUAAUUAUUAUAAUUAUAUAUAAAUUAUUAAAAUAAUAAAUAUUAUUUAAUUUUUUUAUCAUUUUGAAUACAUCUUAUUUGAACUCCUAUUUUGUGAUGAAGUUCAUAUAACUAUUUGAAUUGAUAUAGGAGGA
rnacentral:lncRNA from 1 species